GACGAACGCUGGCGGCGUGCUUAACACAUGCAAGUCGUACGGUAAGGCCCUUUCGGGGGUCCACGAGUGGCGAACGGGUGAGUAACACGUGAGUAACCUGCCCACAACUUUGGGAUAACGCUAGGAAACUGGUGCUAAUACUGGAUAUGUGCUCCUGCUGCAUGGUGGGGGUUGGAAAGCUCCGGCGGUUGUGGAUGGACUCGCGGCCUAUCAGCUUGUUGGUGGGGUAGUGGCCUACCAAGGCGGCGACGGGUAGCCGGCCUGAGAGGGUGACCGGCCACAUUGGGACUGAGAUACGGCCCAGACUCCGACGGGAGGCAGCAGUGGGGAAUAUUGCACAAUGGGCGCAAGCCUGAUGCAGCAACGCCGCGGGCGGGAUGACGGCCUUCGGGUUGUAAACCGCUUUCAGCAGGGACGAAGCUUUUUGUGACGGUACCUGCAGAAGAAGCACCGGCUAACUACGUG
rnacentral:rRNA from 1 species